GGUUAAGUUAGAAAGGGCGCACGGUGGAUGCCUUGACACUAGGAGUCGAUGAAGGACGGGACUAACGCCGAUAUGCUUCGGGGAGCUGUAAGUAAGCUUUGAUCCGAAGAUUUCCGAAUGGGGAAACCCACCAUACGUAAUGGUAUGGUAUCCUUAUCUGAAUACAUAGGGUAAGGAAGACAGACCCAGGGAACUGAAACAUCUAAGUACCUGGAGGAAGAGAAAGCAAAUGCGAUUUCCUGAGUAGCGGCGAGCGAAACGGAACAUAGCCCAAACCAAGAGGCUUGCCUCUUGGGGUUGUAGGACAUUCUAUACGGAGUUACAAAGGAACGAGGUAGACGAAGCGACCUGGAAAGGUCCGUCGUAGAGGGUAACAACCCCGUAGUCGAAACUUCGUUCUCUCUUGAAUGUAUCCUGAGUACGGCGGAACACGUGAAAUUCCGUCGGAAUCUGGGAGGACCAUCUCCCAAGGCUAAAUACUCCCUAGUGAUCGAUAGUGAACCAGUACCGUGAGGGAAAGGUGAAAAGCACCCCGGAAGGGGAGUGAAAGAGAUCCUGAAACCGUGUGCCUACAAAUAGUCAGAGCCCGUUAACGGGUGAUGGCGUGCCUUUUGUAGAAUGAACCGGCGAGUUACGAUCCCGUGCGAGGUUAAGCUGAAGAGGCGGAGCCGCAGCGAAAGCGAGUCUGAAUAGGGCGUUUAGUACGUGGUCGUAGACCCGAAACCAGGUGAUCUACCCAUGUCCAGGGUGAAGUUCAGGUAACACUGAAUGGAGGCCCGAACCCACGCACGUUGAAAAGUGCGGGGAUGAGGUGUGGGUAGCGGAGAAAUUCCAAUCGAACCUGGAGAUAGCUGGUUCUCCCCGAAAUAGCUUUAGGGCUAGCCUUAAGUGUAAGAGUCUUGGAGGUAGAGCACUGAUUGGACUAGGGGUCCUCAUCGGAUUACCGAAUUCAGUCAAACUCCGAAUGCCAAUGACUUAUCCUUAGGAGUCAGACUGCGAGUGAUAAGAUCCGUAGUCAAAAGGGAAACAGCCCAGACCGCCAGCUAAGGUCCCAAAGUGUGUAUUAAGUGGAAAAGGAUGUGGAGUUGCUUAGACAACUAGGAUGUUGGCUUAGAAGCAGCCACCAUUUAAAGAGUGCGUAAUAGCUCACUAGUCGAGUGACUCUGCGCCGAAAAUGUACCGGGGCUAAAUACACCACCGAAGCUGCGGAUUGAUACCGAAUGGUAUCAGUGGUAGGGGAGCGUUCUAAGGACAGUGAAGUCAGACCGGAAGGACUGGUGGAGUGCUUAGAAGUGAGAAUGCCGGUAUGAGUAGCGAAAGACGGGUGAGAAUCCCGUCCACCGAAUGCCUAAGGUUUCCUGAGGAAGGCUCGUCCGCUCAGGGUUAGUCAGGACCUAAGCCGAGGCCGACAGGCGUAGGCGAUGGACAACAGGUUGAUAUUCCUGUACCACCUCUUUAUCGUUUGAGCAAUGGAGGGACGCAGAAGGAUAGAAGAAGCGUGCGAUUGGUUGUGCACGUCCAAGCAGUUAGGCUGAUAAGUAGGCAAAUCCGCUUAUCGUAAAGGCUGAGCUGUGAUGGGGAAGCUCCUUAUGGAGCGAAGUCUUUGAUUCCCCGCUGCCAAGAAAAGCUUCUAGCGAGAUAAAAGGUGCCUGUACCGCAAACCGACACAGGUAGGCGAGGAGAGAAUCCUAAGGUGUGCGAGAGAACUCUGGUUAAGGAACUCGGCAAAAUGACCCCGUAACUUCGGGAGAAGGGGUGCUUUCUUAACGGAAAGCCGCAGUGAAUAGGCCCAAGCGACUGUUUAGCAAAAACACAGCUCUCUGCGAAGCCGUAAGGCGAAGUAUAGGGGGUGACACCUGCCCGGUGCUGGAAGGUUAAGGAGAGGGGUUAGCGUAAGCGAAGCUCUGAACUGAAGCCCCAGUAAACGGCGGCCGUAACUAUAACGGUCCUAAGGUAGCGAAAUUCCUUGUCGGGUAAGUUCCGACCCGCACGAAAGGUGUAACGAUUUGGGCACUGUCUCAACCAGAGACUCGGUGAAAUUAUAGUACCUGUGAAGAUGCAGGUUACCCGCGACAGGACGGAAAGACCCCGUGGAGCUUUACUGUAGCCUGAUAUUGAAUUUUGGUACAGUUUGUACAGGAUAGGCGGGAGCCUUUGAAACCGGAGCGCUAGCUUCGGUGGAGGCGCUGGUGGGAUACCGCCCUGACUGUAUUGAAAUUCUAACCUACGGGUCUUAUCGACCCGGGAGACAGUGUCAGGUGGGCAGUUUGACUGGGGCGGUCGCCUCCUAAAGUGUAACGGAGGCGCCCAAAGGUUCCCUCAGAAUGGUUGGAAAUCAUUCGUAGAGUGCAAAGGCAUAAGGGAGCUUGACUGCGAGACCUACAAGUCGAGCAGGGACGAAAGUCGGGCUUAGUGAUCCGGUGGUUCCGCAUGGAAGGGCCAUCGCUCAACGGAUAAAAGCUACCCCGGGGAUAACAGGCUUAUCUCCCCAAGAGUCCACAUCGACGGGGAGGUUUGGCACCUCGAUGUCGGCUCAUCGCAUCCUGGGGCUGUAGUCGGUCCCAAGGGUUGGGCUGUUCGCCCAUUAAAGCGGUACGCGAGCUGGGUUCAGAACGUCGUGAGACAGUUCGGUCCCUAUCCGUCGUGGGCGUAGGAAAUUUGAGAGGAGCUGUCCUUAGUACGAGAGGACCGGGAUGGACGCACCGCUGGUGUACCAGUUGUUCUGCCAAGGGCAUAGCUGGGUAGCUAUGUGCGGAAGGGAUAAGUGCUGAAAGCAUCUAAGCAUGAAGCCCCCCUCAAGAUGAGAUUUCCCAUAGCGUAAGCUAGUAAGAUCCCUGAAAGAUGAUCAGGUUGAUAGGUUCGAGGUGGAAGCAUGGUGACAUGUGGAGCUGACGAAUACUAAUAGAUCGAGGACUUAACCAU
rnacentral:rRNA from 1 species